rnacentral:lncRNA from 1 species
AUUUAAGUUCAGGAACUUUGCAGAUCUCUUAUUAACUAUUCAGUUAAUAAUGAGAGUCCUAUGGCUCUUGAUAUCUAGCAUCCUGGCUUCACUCACAUGGAUGAGCCCCAGCUGGAAUGCCUAGAAGACGUGGGACAGCUGGAUCUCUCUCCACACGGUUUUUCAUUGUUGCCUCAGGUUCCAAUAAAAGCAAAAGCUGCAAGGUCUUCUGAGGCAAAGACUUAGAAAUACCACAAUGUUACUUCUGCUGCAUUCUGUUGAUAAAAAAAAUCCCACAAUGCCAGCUUCAUUUAAAGCAGUAAAGAUAUAGAUUAUUCACCUUCGAUGGGAGGAACUGCAAAUGAUGUAAUUAGUGAUAAUUUUUAAUAUACUGUAAUGUAUUGACU